rnacentral:tRNA from 1 species
AGUAGAGUAGCCUAGUAGGUAGAGCAUAGGACUGGGAAUCUGAAGGACCUGGGUUCUAGUUCUGGCUUUGCUG